AAUAAAACAAGAUUAAAAAAAAUUAAAAAAAAAAAAAGAGAGAAAAGAAGGAAAUGACAGGGCAGUCGGCAGACACUCCAACAUCCCACCCCUCAUCUCCCCUCCCUCAUCUGAGACCUGCGAGAAUGGAAGGGGUGAGAGGGGGCUGAAGGUGUGGCUGGCCGUUUGUCGAAAGGAGAAGGCACCGCCGGAGGUAGGGGACUGAAACCCAACCCAUGCUCGCCGGAGACACUUGAGCUUUAGAUCCACGGGUGUUUGGCGGUCGACUUUGGAUGGAUACACACCGAGGAGGGAAGUUGAACGAAGGAAGAACGCAAAGUUGUUAUGUGUUUUCUGAGGACGAUCUACGAGAUUUGAGGAGGAUCGUGGGCGUCGGAAGCGAACCAGAGGAUGAGGCGACGACGAGGAUGCAGAGGUGGAAAUCGAUGUAGCGGUCGAGGCGAAGGCACACGGGGCCGUUGGCUAUAGCGAGUUCCAACACAUUUGAGUCGAGUUUCUUUGUACCUACCUUUAAAUCCGGCCUUUCACGUAUUUCAAAUAGUUGUCCGAGUCCGAAAGAUGUUGUAUCUUAGUGGUCUUUUCUCUUUUCGUUAUAAAAACAAAAUUUUCAUUACUACUUUAAUUAAAUUUCAAUUUACAUGCAAGUGUUUAAAUGUUUUAAAUUUUA